AGCUGGAAUAUUGGUUCUUAGC
rnacentral:miRNA from 10 species